rnacentral:tRNA from 1 species
GGAGAGGUCGCAUAGUGGCUUAGUGCACCGGUCUCGAAAACCGGAGAACUCGAAAGGGUUCCGUGGGUUCAAAUCCCACCCUCUCCGCCA